rnacentral:rRNA from 1 species
UACGUAGGGUGCAAGCGUUAAUCGGAAUUACUGGGCGUAAAGCGUGCGCAGGCGGCUAUGCAAGACAGAUGUGAAAUCCCCGGGCUCGACCUGGGAACUGCAUUUGUGACUGCAUGGCUAGAGUACGGUAGAGGGGGAUGGAAUUCCGCGUGUAGCAGUGAAAUGCGUAGAUAUGCGGAGGAACACCGAUGGCGAAGGCAAUCCCCUGGACCUGUACUGACGCUCAUGCACGAAAGCGUGGGGAGCAAACAGG